AUGGCCUGUGAUGUCGCCGCCGACGAGCCACCCGCCAUCCACACCGUAUUGGAGCUUCGCGCGCUCGACAAGGCCCCGCCGUCUGCCACGUCCAGGAGCCCCGCGUGCCCGACAAGUCCCCCACCGUCUGCACCGUCCGGGAGCUCCGCGCGGGCGACGCGCCGUCCGCCAUGGGCAGGGCCCCCGAUCUCUGCGCCGGUGACACAGAGCACGCGACACACGAUCGAGCUUGCUCGUGGUGAUGCUCCUGUUUGCAACUACACUAUCCAUGGGCAUGAAUACACAAAGGGGUACUAUCUUAGAGAUGGUAUAUACCCUCUUUGGUGCACAUUUGUCAAGAGCAUCAGAGAGGCCCAAACUAGGAAAUAA
rnacentral:rRNA from 1 species